GCUGCAGGAGGCUAUGAAACAGACAUACCAGAGAGCCCUAAAAGCGGCAACAGAUUUUGGUUAUCAAAAGGAAAGUCCAGAGGCGUUGGUCCAUGGAGCAGUGAUCUCUGCUUUCCUAACGAUUGCCAAUGGUAUGGUGGACCAAGGAUGUGUAUAAAUUACAGCUUUUUCUUGAUGUAGCUAAAUAUCAUAUUUAAUUACUACUUUUUAUUUGACAUCAAUAACGAAGAAAGAGUGCUGUGGGAUUCAUUGCAUCGUCGGGCUUCUUUCAGGAUCUUAUACAGUGCUUGAUAUUGUAGAUGGUGGGAGGAAUAUAUGUUUGUCAUGGUAAUGUACAUGUAUUGUGUAGGUGAGUUAAUGUCAAAGCUUUGGUAGGAUAUACUACUUCAUUUUCUCUGUUAGCUAAAUUUAGUUAGCUGCUGAAAUAUAAAAGUAAUUGUGAAAGCAAACACUGUAUUGUGGGGUUGAUGGACUUUUAAGUUUUCAGCAAGGAAAUCCUUAUAACU